GGGAAGACAGGCGUGGAUGCAGUGCAGCCUGGGGCUCCUUGCCAGCAGGAGUCAGAAGUCACCAUUCAUGGAGGCUUCCCUUGGGGAGGCCAGAGAUGGAAGAGAGGUUUUAUCUUUUUUUUUUUUUUUUUUUUUUUGAGACAGUCUUGCUCUGUUGCCCAGACUGGCGUGCAGUGACACGAUCUCAGCUUACUGCAACCUCCACCUCCAAGGUUCAAGUGAUUCUCCUGUCUCAGCCUCCUUAGUAGCUGGGAUUACAGGCAUGCACCAACACGUCUGGCUAAUUUUUGUAUUUUUAGUAGAGAUGGGGUUUCACCAUGUUGGCCACCUGACAGGUUUUAUCUUACAUGUUACUUUUGAUCCAAUGGUUGCCCUGUACACUGUGUGGAGAAGGAUUCUGUUGUUUAAUAUGAGCUUAGUGGGAAAGAUUGAUUGGUGAUUGAUUGAUGAUGUCUGCCAUGAGUACGGAGGGUACAAACUAGGGCAUGCAUGCUGUAGGUUUAGUAUUCCUGUUUCAGACUGUAGAGUGCGGACUCUCAGGAAAAGAUGUUGGACAUGACUGGGCUGAAACUUCUUGUAUUAUGGACGGGGAAACUGAGCCUCAGAGAAACUCACAGGAAAACUGUGAGUAGGGACAUCACAAGUCAAUGGUAGAACAGGGCUCUCUUUCUUGCUGGCUGGGAGGCUGCCCCCAUCAGCAGAGGGAUCUCAGGUGGGUCUGGAAGAGGAUGUUUUGGGAGUUCCAGCCCCACCACUUGCAACUGCAUGAAUGGGGCAAGUCAUGUCAACUCUCCAACCUCAUUUGUACAAUGGGGUUGAUUAGGUUGUUUUAGGGCUAAAAGAGACCCUUCGGUUUAUAGGUGUUUGUGGAGUGUUUGUUACUGGGCACACUUGUUGCUAGGAUACACAGUUGAGAAAAACAGAACUGGAUCCUCCUGUACAUUGCUUACAGGGAGAUAAACUUUGCUCAAAUAAUGACUCCUGAACGAGCAGAAUCCAGUAUACGGGUGGGCCCUGUGGAACCACUGUCAAGGCCCUGCUGCAUGACCCUGCUUAGAAGAGAGUGCCCAUCCAGAACAGCCCUGCUCCUGCCUGGAGACUCAAGAUGGAGCUCAGGAGAUCAGACUGUGUGGCAGCGGCUGUGGACUGCAGGGGUGAUGGCCGUGGCUGGCACCUGAAGCUGCAGCUCUCAAGACCUUGGUCCCAAGGAUGGGGGCUUCCACUCCCAACGGUGAGCUCACUUGCUGGGAAACUUGCCAAACCCCGUGUGUGGGUCUGGGCAUCAAAUGAACUUGC
rnacentral:lncRNA from 1 species